rnacentral:lncRNA from 1 species
CGCCGGAGGAGGCCUACUCAUUUACACAAAAGAUGAUAUGUCAGUCACCAGAAAAGGUGUACUCGAAAACCACAUUGACGAAACUAUCUGGGUUGAGAUCAGAGGUAAAGGUCAAACGUUUUUAUUAUGUUGUACUUAUCGACCGGAAUGGUCAGGUGUUGAAUAUUGGACACGGCUAAAUCAUGCUAUUGAACUUGGUUAUCAGUAUACAGAAAACAUUGUGAUUUCUGGAGACUUGAAUUCAGAUUUAUUUUCGUAUAAUAAUAAUAAGUUAUAUGAUAUAAUUCAUCAAUUUAAUUUAAAAAAUGUAAUUAAUAAACCAACAAGGGUAACUGAUCACAGUAGUACUUUGCUUGAUCCGAUCAUAUUAAGUGAUGCUAUACAAUUUUCUUUUUCUGAUGUACUGAAUGUACCUGCUAACAUCAGUGAUCACGAUGCCUCUAUUAUUUUUUUACAAUGUCCAAAGUCCGAAACAAAGUCGUUUAAACGGGAAAUAUGGUUAUAUGAAAAAACAGAUGUUGAAAAGUUUUCAAAUAUGAUGAAUGCAAUUGAAUGGAACGAACUCUUUUCCAAUGUUGAGGAAGUAGACGAAAUGGUCACUAUAUUCACUGAAAAAAUCCUCAGCAUUGCAAGAGAGAGCAUUCCAACCAAAAUAGUAACUAUACGUGGUAAUGACAAACACUGGUUUAACAGUAAUAUCAGAAAAGCAAUUCGAAUAAGGGAUAGAUUACGAAAAAAAUCAAUUAAAUCUAAAAAAGAAACGGAUAUUAAUAAAUAUAAGAAACAAAGGAAUAAAGUGAAUAAUAUGAAAAAAGAAGCGAAAGAAAAUUUUGAGAAAAAACUUGGAAAAUAUAAUACUAGAUAACGCUUCAGAUUCUAAGACUUAUUGGAAAAUUAUGAAGAUGCUUAUUAAGCCAAAUAGAGGAUCUAAUAACAUACCCCCAUUAAAAAAUAUUCUUAAUGAUGAUCGUUUUGAGGAGUUCGCCGAUAGAGACGACGAGAAAUGCGACAUUCUAAAUAAGUAUUUUUGUUUCAUUUCAUCGCUAGCAGAUGUUGAUGCUCAAUUACCCGAUUUCGACAAAAAAACUAACAAUUUAUUGAAUGAUAUAGUGAUUAGUACUAGUGAAAUUGUUGAUAUCAUAAAAACUAUAAAUCCAAAAAAAGCGUCAGGCCCGGAUGUCAUUAGUCAUAAGAUGCUUAAAAUUUGUCCCGAAAAAAUUGCAAUUCCAUUAUGUAUUAUAUUUAAUAAAUCCUUGCAUCAGUGCAAAUAUCCUUCCAGCUGGAAAAUUGCAAAUGUUAUAGCCUUAUUUAAAAAGGGGGAUAGUUCAUUACCUUCCAAUUAUAGACCUAUAUCACUCAUAAGUUGCAUAGGCAAAGUCAUGGAACGUGUUGUAUAUAAAUAUGUUUACAACCACUUACAAAGAUUUAAAUUAAUUUAUGAGUAUCAAUCGGGUUUUCUUCCUAAAUGUUCAACGGUUCACCAACUGUUAGAAAUAUAUAAUUGCAUAUUGAACUCACUUGAAAAGAAAGAGAUAAGUUGUUUUGUUUUUGCGAUUUCUCUAGAGCCUUUGAUAAAGUUUGGCAUGAUGGUUUAUUACAUAAAAUGAAGGCUUAUGGUAUAAAUGGAAAUCUGUUAAAAUGGUUUAGAAGCUACUUAAGUGAUAGAAAACAAAGGGUGGUUAUCAAGCAAUCUUCUUCAAAACUUUGCAGUAUUUCAGCUGGAGUUCCUCAAGGGUCGGUCCUUGGACCAUUACUUUUUAUAAUAUAUAUUAAUGAUAUUGCAGAAAGACUUAUUUCUCUGUGCAGACUCUUCGCAGAUGACACAUCGUUCAGCUGUGCGGAUCGUGAUGCUUUUCAGAUAGAAACUGUGAUAAACCAUGAUCUAGAAAAGCUGAACGAAUGGUCCAAAAAAUGGUUAAUGUCUUUUAAUCCAGAUAAAACAGAAAUUAUGUUAUUUUCUAAUGUUGAAACCCCAGAAAUGAACUUUAUAUUCAAUGAUAAAAAUAUACCUAUUACAAAUAUUCAUAAACAUUUAGGGGUUACAUUUAGCAAUGAUGCUAAAUGGAAUGCCCACGUUGAUAAUAUUAUCUUAAGCACGUCUAAACAUAUAAAUAUGCUAAGGAAGUUGAAAUAUAAACUGAGCAGGAAAAAAUUUAGAAAAACUCUAUUUAGUUUUUAUAAGACCUUUAUUUGAGUAUGCAAGUGAGGUUUGGGAUAAUAUUGGGGUAGGUUAUGUCAAUAAACUGGAGCAAUUACAGCUCCAAGCUGCUAGGAUAGUUACGGGGUUACCUAUAUUCACAAGCUCAAGGGUUAUUUAUGAAGAACUUGGAUGGGAAACAUUAGCUGAAAGAAGAGAGAGAAGAAAAAUCCAAAUGUUUUAUAAUAUUCAAAAUAAUAAUGUUCCAGAAUAUUUGUCAAAUUUAAUUCCCCAAAAAAUACAAAGUAUGACGGUCUAUCCUCUACGUAAUGGAAAUGACAUCAUUAUUCCAUUCUGCAGACUAGCAUUAACUAAUGAUUCUUUUAUUCCAUCAACCAUACGUCUUUGGAAUAAUCUUGAGGAUUCAACUCGUGAUGUGGAAUCAAUUAAUAAAUUUAAAACUGAACUAAAAAACCGUUAUCCUCAGAGUAAUAUAUUUGUACCGAAGCAAUAUGAAUUUGGAAAUCGAAAAUUGAAUAUAAUUCUCACCCAACUUCGAUGUUUUGCAUCAUCCUUAAACUAUGAUCUAUAUAGGGUCAAUAUUAUUUCUGACCCUUCCUGCCGCUGUGGUGUUAAUCGUGAAGAUUCCUAUCAUUUCUUUUUUAAAUGUAUAUUAUAUUCAGACAUACGAAAUAAAAUGUAUGAAAGUCUGCGCUGGCUUCCAAAUGAUUGUAAAAUUAACAUAGAACUACUUACCUCGGGUAGUUGUCUUCUUUCUCUAGAGCAAAACCAAACCAUUUUCAAAAAUGUCUUUGAGUUUAUUAAAAGUUCGGAAAGAUUUCAAAUUGUCUAGGUAGCAAACCAUGAUCGCACACACAUCAUCAUCUAAGUAAAAUUUCUUCUCCCCUUUUUUGUCCUUUUUAUUUUUUCGUUUUUUUUGUUUUUUUUUUGUUGUUUUUUUGUUUUUUUAUUAUUAUUUGUUUUUUUUGUUGUUAUUUUUUGUUUUUUUUGUGUUUCUGUUUUCUAAAUAAUGAUUUAUAUAUUUUUAUUUUUGAUUUUUUUUUUUUCUGUAUUAUUAUUGUUUUCUUUUUCUUCAAUUUUCCGUCUUUUGAUCCAUAUUUAUAUAUAUAUUUACUAAAUAGAUAUACCAUUCUAUACAUGCAUGCUCAUACAUAUAUUUUUGUAUUAUAUUGCUAUAAAUGUUAAAUGGAGAAGACUUCAUAAGUCUGUUUGACUUGUGUCUUAUCCAAUUUGUACUUUAACAAAUAAAAUAUGUUUAAACUAAA